rnacentral:tRNA from 1 species
CAGGUUAUAGUUAAAGUUCAAUAACAGUUCUCUUACACUGAGCUAUUAUUCGUGAAAAUCGAGUUGACCUGA